CUCGUCGAUGUACUCGACCUGGAUGAGAGAUUCACAAACCGGUUUACCAUUGUGGAUGAGAACCGGGAUUUUCUUAUGAACCGGGUUCAUCUCGAGGAGAAUCGGGCUCUUAUUGAAUAGGUCUUGUUCUCUGUAGUCGAACUUGAUGUUCUUCUCCUCUAGAGCAACCCUCGUCCUCAUUCCGAACAUACUCGGCCAGUAAUCCAGCAGAAUCACCUCGUCCGCCAUUGUUGCUCUUCCAAUUAACCUCACUGAGAUAUACUAAUGUGUUUGUUUUGGUGUCUUUAAGUGUAUUAUGGAUAAAAGAAGCAAGGUUCGGUCAUUUAUAUAAAGGACAUAGUCAACAAAAAGAAAUUGAAUUGAUUUUUGCUUCCUGAUUAAUACUGAAAUGCAUUAACUUUCGCAUUAAAAUAAUUUCCAAACUAGUAAUAAAUAAAAUGUGUACUUAGCAUUUUAAUACUAUGAAGUUGACUUGACUGAACAUAUCCUUUUCAUUAGCUUUAACAUUAAAGUCAAAAACAUAAAUGAUUGAAUCUCUGACUUUGAACGUUAAAGCUAGUGAAAAGGAAACGUAAUCUACUCAAAAGUUUAUUCCCUUCUUGCAUGCUAAUGAAAGUAUUGACGAAUUAGUUUUCUUUGGUCAACAAUUGAUGAAAUUAAUGCAAUAUCUGACUUUGUUGUGUGUUCUGAAUAUGAGCGUAGUAACCGGCUUUGUACUUGCUUGUGUUUUCUUCGACUAUUGUAUUAAGUUUAAUCGAAGAAGAUCACUGCAUGCGUCAUCGUUCUUAUGAUGGUGGGAAAAUUCAAAAUCCGGUUUAAGUAUCGGUUAAACAUUUAGCGAAAGAAGGCGAAACGAUAUCAGCCAAGACAGGGCAAACGCUCGCCGGAGGAAAAAGCAGAACAUGAACAGAGACCAAAAGGUCCAAAACUGAUUUGAUUUAAGGGCCAGUUUGAAUAGCCCGUUUUAUAUUGGACCUAAAGUAUCCGAAUCGUUGUCAGGACUGCUAUGGUUUUGCUUUUUGAAACAAACAUGUUUAGAUACCCUAAAACCUUGUAACUAGACAUUUCAACGACCCAAGAGUCUUCUUCAGAUUUUUCCAUCACGAUCAAGAUCUAGAAGAUUAGAAACCAUUGAAGCAUUUGUUUAGUGAAACCAUUAGAGGACGUUUGUAUUAUUAUGAUAACUUCAAAGUUCAAACCGAGCAGAAACAAAACAUCAACUGAAAAGGUACAAAAAAGACAGAACACAGAUUAAAUUAUAACAGAACUACUCGAUGCCAAUUUUUUUCUUUAGCUCAGGAACGAACUUAGUGAUCUUGUUUGAAUCAGGAAGAGACUUAGCCACACUCUCUCUCUUCAUACACCUUUUAGCCCAAGCAAUCAGCUUUGGACACUCUGCUUCGAUGCUAAAAUUCCCACACUUCUCCAAAACGUCGAACCAGCAGUAGAAUCCAAUCAUAGCUAUAUCCACAUAACCGAAUGUUUCGCCUCCAAAGUAAGUCUUGUCUCCAAGCUCAGACUCUAGCAUCUUGAGCAUCUCAAUGAACUCCUUCGUCCCCGCCUCUUGCUCCUCUCCUUUCGCUCCCCAUAUCAACCUCGUUGGACCAUACACCUAAAAACCACAAUUGUUAAUCACAUUAAACCAAACUCUAAUAAAAGCUUAAAUAUUUAAAAAAAGUUUUUUAGUUACCUUUUUGUCGAUGAAAUCUCCCCAAAACUUGGCCUGAGCUCUUUGGUAAGGAUCAGAAGGAAGGAACGAGUUGCCCCCUGGCCAAGUCUCGUCGAUGUACUCGACCUGGAUGAGAGAUUCACAAACCGGUUUACCAUUGUGGAUGAGAACCGGGAUUUUCUUAUGAACCGGGUUCAUCUCGAGGAGAAUCGGGCUCUUAUUGAAUAGGUCUUGUUCUCUGUAGUCGAACUUGAUGUUCUUCUCCUCUAGAGCAACCCUCGUCCUCAUUCCGAACAUACUCGGCCAGUAAUCCAGCAGAAUCACCUCGUCCGCCAUUGUUGCUCU
rnacentral:lncRNA from 1 species